GCAGUGGUGGUUCCUUGACAGAAUUCUCACCUUCCAUCUGGGAGACCCAGGUUCAAUUCCUGGCCAAUGCA
rnacentral:tRNA from 1 species